AGGUUGGCCUUCUGUCUUCCAUUUUCCAGUUUACCCUUAUGAGUCAAUUGCGGUGAUCUUCUUGAGCUAUCCGGAAUUCUUGGGCUGCCCAAUUAUUAGGUUCCGUUAACCGGAAAAAAACUACGCGAAUAAUUCCUAACUGAAUAGGCCUUCCAACACGUAAUAAAAUUGAACAAAUAAAUAGGUGAUUAUUCAAACAAAAUUAACAACUAAUACAACAUCAACAUUGUCCUCGAAUGACACUUAAUCCCAAUCUCAAAUUACAACCAACCAAUUAAAAAAUUGAAAUGCACAUACAGGGUGUCCCAUCGUUAACAAACUAGACAAGGAUGCAGCAUAUUUGUGACAAUAAAUGAAUAGAUAACUAAACAACUCAUUUAUUGACACGGCAAAGACCGAAUAUAUGCAGUGCAGGCCGCAGACCAAUGGAACUAUCACCAUGAAGAAGGUCAACAAAUUGAAAUACCUCGGCUCCACUAUCAGCAGUGACAGCGAGAUCCCUGACGUUCGAGCCAGCGUCAACGCGGCAUGGGCGAAGUGGCGCUGUCACAAGCGUUUUGUGUGAUCGGCGAAUGAAAGUCCAGAGGUGUCGCCAAUUGAUGUGAAGAUGCGUGAGGCGCGAUUUCGAUGUACAGCUUGCGGCAACUUGAUCUGUCCCUGCUAUCUCAACUGUGGUCGUUGAACGAGUCGAUUCAGGACUUUCGACAAAUGCUGCAAGACCAAGAUGACAGAGCCUUAUCGCCGCCAUCGCCUUCUCCCUCACCAUCGUCCUGUGAUGACGGUGACGCGGACGAAUUCUUCUCGCCCUCGCCGCUGAGACUGAGACCGGCCCCGCCUCCUCCCCCCUUGCGACGGACGAGUAAUAGUUCGUCGGCUAAUUCCAGUGAAUACGGGACUGUUUAAUAUUUUUAAGUAAAAGUAAACUGUUUAGGAAAGAGCGAUAUUUCGUACAAGUUUAAUCCAUAACCAAAUCGGUAGAUGUGUGAUACUUAUAAUAAUCUUAAUUUAUAGUAAACUGUGUUCCAAGACUAUUGUAGAUUAUAGUUUUAUUCCAUCUCUAAUUUGUACAAUCAAAAGUAGACUAGCGAAAUGUGUGUUUGGAUCUUAAUGUUGUUGGUGUAAAUCGAAUUAAUUUUUAAGGUGUUUGUAAUUAUUUCAAAAUAAAAGUGUAAUUUUCUA